GCCCGCGUGGUGGAAUUGGUAGACACCGCAGACUUAAAAUCUGCUGGCCGCAGGGCCGUGCCGGUUCGAGCCCGGCCGUGGGCA
rnacentral:tRNA from 1 species